rnacentral:antisense_RNA from 1 species
ACCGACAUCAGCGAUUCGUUCUGCGACCCUGCGCCAACCGCCAGAUAGGCGUUCAUCCCCAGCUCUUUCAUCUGCUGUUCGCCGAUGACGCGGGUGGUGAUGUUGGUGCUAAAGGCAUCCGCCAACUGACGAGCCUGAGAGGCCAGGUAGCCGGCGUUACAGAUGUUCGGCGGCAUAUUGCCGAGAUCUUUCGC